GAAGGGCACGGGCAUGAGAAGGCGACAGAGGAGGUCCUCGGCUCGCCCUGGGCGCGGAGCGAGGACUCUGGUCAGAGGUAAUUAUGUCACCGCGUUUUCUCGCCGUGACAGCCGAAUAAACACGAUCUCCAAUAAACAUCUCUAAUGAGGGAGGAGGCCCGAGGAUGGCUGGGUUUGAUUUAUGACUGGAGGAGAAGGUCCACUUCCCACUGCGAAGCAGGCGACCUGCUCGCCGCCCAGCUCCAGGGAGAGGAACCCGCGGAGGAGAGGAUCCCGGCCCAGUCUUUUUGAGGUUAUACUUCUCUGAUUGAUGCCUUCAGUACCAAGUUGAAUAGCUAUGAUGGCAGGAGUUGGAGCAGCCAUUUUGGGCCAUGAGAUGAAAGCCUUAUAUUGAGCCAUGUUUUGAGCAGAAGAACAGAAAAGAAAGAACCUGGGCCCCUGACAUUACUGAGCCACCAUAAAGACCUAGGCUCUCUACUUGAACUUCAGAAUAAGGAUAAUAAGAGUAUCAACCUCAGAGGAUCACUGCAAGAAUUGAGUGGGAUACAUAUGACGUGCUUAGCACAGUUUGUGGCCCAUGUGGUUCCACCUCCUACCUAUAAUGGAGAUGGGGACUUGUGGGGUGACAUUGUGCCGCUUCCAGGCUUUUAGCAGGCAACUUCUCCUGGCUCGGAUGAUCUAGAGCAGUGAUUUUCCAGCAGUUCCUGGGGGUCUGGUGAGAAGAAGACAGGCCUGGAGUUGAAGGAGAGAAAAAAGGCUGGGCUGGCCUGUUGGAAGGAGACUUCCACCUCUGCAAGCAUCCCCAUCUUGUUUGGAUUGCAAACUCAGUUGCCAGCCAAGCAAGAUGAGGGGAACGGCUUUGGACUCGGGCUGACUUGGACCACAUCCCAUCUCUGCCGCCAUCUGAGCUCUGUGACCGUGAAGUGCUCCUACCACCCUUCUGAGCUUUUGUUUUCUUCACCUGUAAAAGUGCAGGAAGAAUACUUACCUGUCACCAGAAUAUUCCAAGAAUUAGAAUUAAUGUUUGGAAAGUUGUUGACACCUAGCAGGUACUCAAAAAAUGGUGGCUAUUACUACUACAUUCUACAGUCUCUGCGCUACUUUGAAAGGACUUGCUUCUAGGGGAGCUUAUUUCUAAUGGGGAGAUAUUUUGGUUUUGAAGUAAAAUCUAUACCGUGUUAGAUGGGAGGUGUGCUUUAGAGAAAAAAUAAAGCAGGGAUGGGAGACUGAGAUGGCUGGGGAGCCUGAGGAAAGCCCCAUUUAUAGGUCUAAGAAUGAGAGAGAGUUUCUUUCUUAAAUUCCCUCUCCCUACUUUAUCAAAGAGAUUUUACUUCCAAAUAAGUGUAAACGGGAAAAGGGAACAGAGCCUGAAAGACACUCAAAACAGACACUCAAAAAUGCUGUCCUAGGGAGUCAGCUGGGGUGUCAUCACUGACGUGGGACUUAGGGUGUUGAGCUGGAGUCCUGGUUUGUCAUUUGAAAAGAGAAAUCCUGAUCAAGUUGUUGUACUGCUCUUUGACUCUAUUUCCUUAACUGUAAAUUAGAGGUAAGAAUCCCUGUCUCACGUGCACGAGCAGGAGAGGCUUUCUGGUCUGUUGGGAUUCUCAGAUUCACAAGGAUCAGGACGUGGCCAUUGAAAGCUGCCAUCCCAAGAGGCAAAACUAUGGAAGAUAGGAAGGAAAUCCGUACUUACCUCACUCUGCUCCCUCCUCCUUUCCGUGCCUGCGUGCACACACACACGCAUGCACAC
ensembl:lncRNA PAUPAR PAX6 upstream antisense RNA